UCUUACGACCAUACCACGUUGAAAGCACGCCAUCCCGUCCGAUUUGGUAAGUUAAGCAAUGUUGGGCCUCCUUAUUACUUGGAACGGAGACCUCCUGGGAAUUGACGGUGUUGUAGGCU
rnacentral:rRNA from 1 species